rnacentral:pre_miRNA from 1 species
UGGACAUUUUCGUGGCAUAGAACUGGAGUUUGUUGACUCAAAAUAGUUUUCAGCUUCUUGUAGGCAAAGGGGCAAAAAAUAUUUGGAGUCAACAAACUCUGGUUCUAUGCCACGGUGUUCA